rnacentral:rRNA from 1 species
CAGCUGCCGCGGUAAUACCGGCGGCCCGAGUGGCGGUCACUAUUAUUGGGCUUAAAGCGUCCGUAGCCGGGUUGGGAAGUCCUCCGGGAAAUCUGGCCGCUUAACGGUCAGAAUGCCGGAGGAUACUCCCAGCCUAGGGAGCGGGAGAGGCCGAGGGGAUUCCCGGGGUAGGGGUGAAAUCCUAUAAUCCCGGGAGGACCACCUGUGGCGAAGGCGCUCGGCUGGAACGCGUCCGACGGUGAGGGACGAAGGCCAGGGGAGCAAACCGGAUUAGAUACCCGGGUAGUCCUGGCUGUAAACGAUGCGGACUUUGUGUCGGACAAGCUAUGAGCUUGUCCGGUGCCGGAGGGAAACCGUUAAGUCCGCCGCCUGGGGAGUACGGCCGCAAGGCUGAAACUUAAAGGAAUUGGCGGG